UGCAAACCGUGGACCCACACCGACACUCUUCCCCUUCGCACCCAGGAGCGGAGAAACCAAACCAUUAAACCCCCUCUCUUUCUCUCUCCUCUUUUUCUCUCUCUCACUCACUAUAAACACAUAAUAUUACAAUCCCCUCCGAUUCAACUGCUAAAUCUGCGGUACCGAUCACCCACGAUCUUCCGCCAAGCUUCUUUCUCUCUACUAAAUCACUACUUUUGUAUCUCCGCCAACGUCACCUUUUAGCGCCGCCGUGGGCGCUGUUUCCGAUCAUUUGAUGGACGCUUCAAACAAUUACCUAAACGAAUAUCAACAUACUCAUAGCUUUGCUGGUUCUCAGAGAGACGUCACUUACAGGUGUGUGCAAUUUCACUUUCAUCAGAUCAGUUGUUGUCAAUGAUAUCAUUAAAUUUUUUUUGUCAAAUCAUAAUUCAUGAAAAAAAAUUGAUUUUUGUUUUAGUAUAUAUAAUACUGAUUUGGGUUUAUGUUUGUAUUUUGUGUUCUGUUUAAAGCAAAUAUAGAUUAAACAUAGUGGACUGUUGUUGUUUUUCUUUUUCCGGUUGAUUUGUUGGUCUAGGGUCCUGUUUGGGAGCAUGAAUUAGUGAGCUCAUGGUUGAAUUUUAAUUACUCAGAAGAGUUAAUCACGAACUUUGGUAACAUGAAUUUUCAACUGUUAUGACAGUGAUAGGGAAUGCUAAAAUAUGGAGGCUAAGCAUCCAAACUUUGUACAAUGAUAUGAAUAUAUAACAUUCGAUGAAGGACAAGUUCUGCAAGGAUUUAGAAAAGGGUAAGGGGGAAGAAAGAAGGGAAAAAUAGGAGAAGAAAAGCUGCCGGAAGGCCACAGUGGCAUAAAGUCUCACAUCAAAUCAAAACUAAUUUUCCGUCCGUUUCAAAAUAUGAGAUUACUUUUCUUUGUAUUUUUACAAAGGCAAGUGAUCUUAUAUAUCAAGUGUAG
rnacentral:lncRNA from 1 species